GACGAACGCUGGCGGCGUGCCUAACACAUGCAAGUCGAGCGGAGGUAUCAAGGAGCAAUCUGCGGAUACUUAGCGGCGGACGGGUGAGUAACGCGUGAGCAACCUGCCUUACACAGGGGGAUAAGGCGGCGAAAGCCGCUCUAAUACCGCAUGAGACCCCGGUGGUGAUACCACAGUGGUCAAAGGAGCAAUCCGGUGAGAGAUGGGCUCGCGUCCGAUUAGGUAGUUGGUGGGGUAAAGGCUCACCAAGCCAAUGAUCGGUAGCCGGCCUGAGAGGGUGAACGGCCACAUUGGAACUGAGAGACGGUCCAAACUCCUACGGGAGGCAGCAGUGGGGAAUAUUGGGCAAUGGGCGGAAGCCUGACGCAGCAACGCCGCGUGCGGGAAGAAGGCCUUCGGGUUGUAAACCGCUUUUCUAGGGGAAGAGGGAGGACGGUACCCUGGGAAUAAGUCUCGGCUAACUACGUG
rnacentral:rRNA from 1 species